rnacentral:lncRNA from 1 species
AGCCAUUUGAGAUAGAACUGGGAACAGGAAGCCCACUGUCUCAGAGGACUGGAUCAACAAUGGUGCUCCCCAAGUACCUGAAGGCUGCAGGAUCUCAGGGCAGUGAGGGAGAGGAAGGAAAGAACCAACGCCCUUUGUGCUCCAGGCCUGGGAUCAGGUCACCCUCAGAUUUGACACACAGCUCAUUCUUUCCUGAGUUACUCCACCCUGACAAUGUCCUACAGACAUUCUUGAAGAUUGGCCUCUGGCACUGCCAGGCCCAGAACCCUUCCUGUCUAGCUGUCUCCCUGGGCUGCACUCCUAUCCAUCACAUCUAA